UCAAAAAAUAAACAUGACUGGCAUGAAAAGCUUCUCGAAGCCUUGUGGGCUUAUAGAACCACAAUACGCACGCCGACAGGAAUGACACCUUAUUCCUUAGUAUUUGGAGGAGAAGCCGUUCUACCUUUAGAGGUACAGAUCACGUCAUUGAGAGUCGCUACACAUGAAAAUUUGUCGGAAGAAAAACCAGUACAAUUGCGUCUCGAUGAAUUAGAAAGACUAGAAGGUAGACGACUUCAAGCUUUGCAAAAUCUUGAGGCAUACCAAGCUAGGAUGUCUCGAGCAUUCGACAAACGAGUUAAAAGAAGGUCGUUCAAACAAGGAGAUCUAGUACUUGCGGUCAUCCGUCCUAUGAAAAUCGUGCGAAGGAUGAAAGGAAAAUUUGAACCAAAAUGGGAAGGUCCCUUCGUCAUAAAAGAGGUUUAUUCUAGCGGCACAUAUAGAAUCAUAUCACCAGAUGGGGAAUACUUGCCGGCACCGGUAAAUGGGAAAUUCCUUAAGCGUUACUAUGCAUAA
rnacentral:rRNA from 1 species